CCUUAGUGCAGUAGGUGCAGGGCUGAGUGCGCUUGGGGCACUCAGAGGUGGCAUGCUGGGCCAGCAGCCCAAUACUUGUACUUCCAGCUCCGGGUCUGGGUAGAUCUGGGGGUAGGGAUGGGGGAACUGGCCAGGGUCAGAGCUGACUGCAGUGCCCAGUUCCCACCCCUAGACCCAACUGGGCUGGCUCUACCUUGGAGCCUGUAAUAGCCUCUCUUGGGCUCUUUGCCCCUCUUGAGUCCAGGGAUGAAGGGCACAGCAGGCAGCAUCUGCUCUGAUGCUGGGUCCUAACAUGCCUGCACAGGACGCUUCCUUUGAAGAGGCAGCCAAUCAGCCUGCUCAAUCCCAGGCUGUCCCUGGGGCUCUGCUUCCUUUCCCCUGGUGGAGGGAUACUGGCCCUCAGCCACAGGUCUGGCUUGCCACCGGAAGGGGAGGGAACACUUCUUGCGGGCACAGAGCAGCUCUGUGCACCCCUACAGGCUGGGCAUUGUGCAUGCCCUCC
rnacentral:lncRNA from 1 species